rnacentral:tRNA from 1 species
AGGCCCUUAGCUCAGAUGCGAAGAGCACCCGGCUUUUACCCGGGAAGUCGCGGGCACUCAAUCCGCAGGGCCUACCA